AUUGUGUAAAAAAAAAAUUAGAAAAUCCCCACUUCUCUUUCAUUCUAGUAAAAAACGUCGACAGAAAAAAAGAAGAAGAAGAAAGAGCUAGCGACUUCCAUCUCCAAAAUCUCCAACAGUUCCUUCUCCAUUACCACUUUCGAAGGUCAUGAACGUCUUCAAUUCUGAACACCCCAAUCUCAUCUCGUCUUCCUGUCUGUUGUCGUGGACGAACCCUAACUCCACACCACCACCUUCGAUUCCCCGAAACUUGAACUCUCAUAGGUGAUUCAGAAAUCAAUUGACAAAAUGGAUUGCCAGUACAAUGUGCUGUGAAGAAGGAGAAAGAAGCUAAGAAGAUGAUGGAGAAGGAGGAUCUUGGGUGUAACUUUGAUGGCUUGAAUGAUCAGAUUAUAACGCCAUUGCGACUAAAGUUGACGGCUGAUAUUUAUGAGAAAGUGACUGAGAGAGUCGAAUAAAUUAGUCUUGUAUUUUGGUUUUUUGGCUACUGAAUAACAGAUGUAUAACUUGCUGGGUUUUUGGCUUUAGACGGAUUUAUUACUUUUUUGGUUUUUGGCUUUAGUCGGGUGUAUUAUUUUUCUGGUUUUUUGGCUUAUAAAUAAUGGAUGUAUAAAUUACUAGUUUUGGUUUAUGAAUGAUGGAUGUAUGACU